rnacentral:rRNA from 1 species
AAUCCGGUUGAUCCUGCCGGCGGGCACCGCUAUUGGAGUUCGCUUAAGCCAUGCGAGUCGAGAGGGGUAAGCCCUCGGCGCACUGCUCAGUAACACGCGGAUAAUCUGCCCUCGAGUGGGGGAUAACCCCGGGAAACUGGGAAUAAUACCCCAUAGCCGUUCCAUGAUGGAAGGCUGGGACGGCGAAAGCUGAGGCGCUCGAGGAUGGAUCUGUGGCCUAUCAGGUCGUAGGGGGUGUCACGGACCCCCUAGCCGAAGACGGGUACGGGCUUUGAGAGAAGUCGCCCGGAGAUGGGUUCUGAGACAUGAACCC